rfam:Oryza barthii chromosome 4, whole genome shotgun sequence.
UCUAAAAGCAACCGUAAAUUUUCGCGCCUAAUUUUGAUCGUUCGUCUUAUUUGAAAAUUUUUUUAUAAUUAAUAUUUUUAUUAUUAUGAGAUGAUAAAACAUAAAUAGUACUUUACUCGUGACUUAUGUUUUUAAUUUUUUUAAAAUAAAUUUUAAAUAAGACGGAUAGUUAAAGUUAGACGUGGAAAACCAUGACUGUACUUAGA